rnacentral:lncRNA from 1 species
UAAAAUACAGAAGGAGUAUUUCAUAAUUCUUUGUUCCACCCUACAUUUUUUUACGGGUAGAAGACUUGUAUUACUCAGAAUCAAUAUGAUUACAAUUUGCGAGAGCUAACUCUAGGGAAACUGAAGGUCCUGACCCAAGCCAAGUCAUAGUUCUUCCUUCAACCCUCGCAAACGACGCUAAACUAUCGCUAACUUAAUUCUGAGAACGAUUAACAAAGCUAAUACAAAUUCUACGAAGAGACAUUAAAUGACGAAUCUCUCUAAUAAUGGUUGAAUAUAAGGAUCUGUCCUCAUCCUGGGCUUGAAUCGUCUUCAAGGCCACCAUGGAGUCCACCUCGACGAUAAUUGGGAGUUCUGACCGUUGGAUUGAUAGAGAUAGGCCUUCCUUCCACCCUACAUUUGAAAUGUUGUCCGGUACCGUUCCGUUUCGAAGAAAAAAUGUUGUCCGGUACAUUUCAUUCAACUUUCAUUUGUACGUCCAGAAAAUAGUAGUCAGGUUUGUUUUCUCCCUAACUCGAAAAAGAAGGAUUAAUUUUUUUAUGAACCCAAGUUUAAGUACGAUGCACAUGCACUUGUUGACCACGCCAUGGCAAAAGCCGGCCUUUUCCUAUUUCCUUCUCUUUGGAAACUACUGCGCAUUCCAUCCUCACCCUGCUAGAAGACAAGUUGGCAUCUAUCUCCUGAUCCUCCGUUCCUAUAUAAUCCUUUUUCCUCCUGAAGCUUCGCCGUCGUAGCUGUGCUGCGUUGUAGCUCCAUUCCUCCACCAUUUCCUGGCGCCCUACCUCAUGUGCUCACCUUAUUCAACUGUAGCAGAUUCUGUUGUGUUUCCUCUCACCUACAACAUCGGAUGGCGCUGCAUUAAGCAAAGAAUUAUCUUUAACUUUUACUAGAAGUUGGGAAUGCAUCUGAAUAAAGCAAGAUUGUACCUCAAGUACCUCUUUCUAUGCAAAGGGUUUUCAUUUUUGCGUAACAUAAUGUCCAAACAUUACACCCCCAACUUUAGUCAGAAGUUCUAUUUCCAUUUUCUCAACCGUUGAAUCACACAUGGUUAGUCUGGAAUUGCAGCAACAAACCGUCACGAAAGGCCAAGCCUCGGACAAAAACAUUAGCAUAAUAUGCGGAAAGCCAUCACACAGCACUACAUAGGAAUAGUUUUUCCGGCAAUAAUAAAAACAACUCUGCAUAAUCCUGCAUUCUCAUGGCCAAAGGAUAUUAUGUGUCAGCAAAAAUGAUUCAUAAAAAGGAUUGACUUCAGCAUUUGGAAUUGUACUUAGCUACAAAGUUUUGUUCCCCCUAUGCACCUUUAGAAAUAGAACAAAACAGAAUGUUCAGAUUUAUCACAGACAAAUAAUUUUGGUAAUAAAUGACGAACCAGAUAAACCAAUAAACAUAAUAAAGUAGUAGUUCUUAGCAGUUUAACAUCAAAAGAUGAACAACAAAAACAUGAAUAUCAAUGGUAUGACCAUUGAGGCAUCGAGCACCACAUGUACAUGAAAAAAAUGAUAAGGGUAGGAAGAAUGCUCUGAACUUUUAUAUACCCCCGCUUGUGCUGGAAAAUUCAUCGGUUUACAACGCUGCAGUAUCCUUUGACCUAGCUGUAGUGGAGCAUACAGGAAGUCGAGAUUCGCGUCCGGACAAUAACAGCCAUACAGACUGCUCCAUGGGCGCCAAAUACUCUCGGAGAGCCAGGAACAAUGGUCCAGCAGUCCUACAUCGGGAUCACAUCAACCGAUGUAGGGGAAUCCAUCGUUACCAUACAAGGACUAUGCAGGGCUGGGAAUGAAUCCCCAGCGCAUAGUCAAGUUGAUUCACCCCGUAUUUGAUCGACUGCUAGCAAUUGCACAUCAAAGAUUCCGACCCGAGAUCCAGGCCAUAUAACUCAAUCAGGAACGAUCAUACAAUAGUUGAUGCAAUGCAACUGGACCGAAGCGUCAACACCUGGCAUGGCGUGAUAAACUCCCGAGCUCCCAGUGCAUGUGUCUGCUCGAUGUGUCCGAGCUGGAGCGUCAGCACCUGGCGUGGUGUGACAAACUCCCGAGCUCUCAUAACACAUGCGAUACUCCUCUGUAUUGAAAGUCCGCUAACAAGUACACGACCCAAAAUUCAAACCCCUACACACAACGUGCACUUAUCAUGCAUGCAGUGUGUCGGAAACAACAUGUAUCACAAGUUCGCAACACGAACUCUACGACUCGAAGCACAUAGGUUCUAAAGAGCAAAUCGUAGCAGUGUUAUUUACACACAAAGGUCACAUGCCCCAACAUACAACAAGCAUCAGCAGAAGCAAAACAUGUCUUACUAAAGACAAGUUUAAAAAGGGGCAGAAGAGGCCUGAAAGAAGAUACAACGACCCUUCUUAGUGGACAUUGAAUUCCACUUAGAAACCACCAUUGGGUUUAGUGGUCUCCUCUGCAACAAGUUAAUUUGUAGCCACUUAGAAACCACCAUUGGGUUUAGUGGUCUCCUCCGCAACAAGUUAAUUAAGCUACAAAUAUACUCCGCAAGACUUAUAUCAGGAACUAUCUACUCAUGUUCAAGUAUCAAGGGAAAAGGUAUUUGGACUAGUUUGUAGAAUUGCCAGCAUUGACCUUGGGUUACUCAGAGCAUCUCCAGCCGUUCGCCCCCAGGGGCGAUAAUAUCGGCGUGGGGGCGGUCGAUUUCCCAACCGCCACCCCACGACCCCCUUUUUAAAAAAUAAACUCGGCCAAAGUUCGGCCAAACACGACGCAUAUUCGUCGCGAUUUCAUUGAUAUUUGUACAAAAACUUAAACACAUAAAUCUAAACUAAACUAAAAAAACGCCUAGCACUAUUGCGUCGCCGCGCUACUGCCGAAAAGCCCCGCUUUCUACGUGCCGAGGAGCCUGUAGAACCGGGUGUAGUCGCCGCCGUCCCUGCUGGACCCUGACCAGCGUCGCCGAUGCGCGGGGGGUUGGACGACCCGGGCGCGUCCUCGUCGUCGCUGUCGAGGAUGACGACGCCACCCUCCACGCAUCCGCGGCGAUCUCCUCGAGGGCGCGGCGCUGGCGCUCCACCUGCUCGCGAACGCAGUGCGCCUUCGCCCAUUUGAGGGCGGUCUCGUCGGCGGCGGUCAUGUCCGCGUGCUCUAAUUCACGGGGAGCAACCCCGGCUCGGUCUUCGGCCCGACGAGCCGGGAAGAAGGAGAGGGGCGUCCACCGUCGUGGAUGACAAGGCCGCACCUGCGGCGCCCGAGUGGCGUCUCCUUUGGCUCCGGCUUGACGGGGCGGAGUGCCGGCGAACCGGAGGAGAGGGAGCCAGAGCCCGACGACGAGGAGGUCGCCGUCUCCAUCUGCCGCGGCGUCCAUGAGCUGCCGCGACAACGUGAGAAGGUGGGAGGCGCCGGACACUCCAGGCGCGGCGUGUUGCCGGCCUCGAUGUGCUCGAGGACGGCUUCGAGGAUGCAGCCGGGGACGCCCCACCAUUGGCGCCGUCCCUGGGAGUUGUGGCGACCGCGGGGCUCGACGCCGUUCGAGGAGGCGAGCUGCUCGGCGUGGCGGCGUUUGAAGUACACCGUCCACAGCAUGUUGCUGUCGGGGGCGUACCUCGGCUGGUUGUGCACCUCCUCUGUCAACGAGGACCGGAUGCGCGCGAUCUCGGCGCGCCAGGCAGCGCCGGUGGCACCGGCACACCGCCGGCGCUUAGCUUCCACAUGCCCGGCACCUGCAUGUCCGGCGGUGCCGGGUAGUCGGCCUCCUAGAGGAGCCGUGCCUCGUCCUCGUGCCGGUGACGACGGCUGAAGCCGUUAGCCGCCGCGGCGUCGCCUGGGUAACGCUCGGCCAUGCUCGUGCGCAGGGAGAAAGGCGGAGAGGCGAGCUCGGUCGAGAGGGGUGUCGGCGGCGAGAGGAGGAGCUCGGUCGAGAGUGUGUGUGCUCCCCGGCGAGGGAGGGCCUUUUUAUAGCCGGGCGUGGGUGAUGGGAGGGCAGCCGACGUGUGUACGCGUGGCAGGAUCGGGCGAGACGCGCGUCGCCGCGCCUUCACUGCGCCGCCCGUGAGGUAUCAAUGGAGGCUGACCGGUGCAGCAUCGCGUCAGCUUUGGCAUUGAUUCCCCGCGGGAACCGAGGCGAUGAGGACGAUGAUGCGCCGUGGUCACUGACUCGGCGGGUCAGCCGUUCUUUCGCACCAAAAACGAUUCCCCCGGCGCCUCCAGCGCGCCGGGUUUGGCCUGAAUCCGCCGGCGCCAGUUUCGGGCCUAAACGGCGAAAAUUGGGCUCCUGGGAACGCGGCUGGGCCAUUUUUUCUGCGCCGGCGCUAAAAAAGGGCCUUGUGUGUGUGUGUGUGGGUGGGGGGGGGGGGACUGUUGGGGGCUCAACUGGAGAUGCUCUCAGUGGCGGAGCCAGGAUUCAAGCAAACCCCGGGCCAAAACAUUUUUUUUUGGCCGAUAUUGAAAAACUUUCGCACUUACUAACCAAAAUAACCGUGUACUAACAUUCCAAAAAACUUUACACUUAUAUAUGUCCCAAAUUUCAUUAAAAAAAUUAAAUUUCAGUUCAGCAAUACAUGCAAGACAUAUACAUACUGCUACACACACAGUUUUUUUUCCAUUGAAUUUCAGUUCAAUGCAGUCCUAGGUUCAGUGUUAAAUAUCAUCUGAAAAGUUCAGUGUUAAAUACUUCAGUUAUUCAGUAUAUACGCACUAUGCACAGUCUCGGUCAGAAAAUUACCUAGCAGCCGGUAGGACCGCAACAACACGGCGGCCUCGUCCUGGAGCGGACGACGCUCGGGGCGCAGCGGAGGUUGGGCUCCCGGCUCGCGCGCAAGACGAUGGAGGCCGGAGGGAGGCCGGGAGCUCGGCCAUGGCCCAUGGCGGACGGUUAUGGACUGGUAGCAGCAUGGGACGACGGCGCCGGAUCGGGACGACAGCGCGGGGGAAUGCUGGUAGCGCGUGACAAGCCCUAGUAGUAGCUGUCUCUGAAUUUGCAAGAAAUCGAACGAACACAAGGAAAUUGUUGGGAAAUUUGGUGGUUAAUUCACUCAGAUCUGAAGCAAUUAGCUAGGGUUUUCGCCUGCCGGAACACGGCGGCUAUAAGGGCCAAGCCUAG